AUGGAAGACCUGGACCAGUCGCCUCUGGUGUCCUCGUCCGCGGACAGCGCGCCCCGGCCGCAGCCCGCCUUUAAGUACCAGUUCGUGAGGGACCCGGAGGACGAGGAGGACGAGGAGGAAGAGGAGGACGAGGACGAAGACGAAGACGAAGACCUGGAGGAGCUGGAGGUGCUGGAGAGGAAGCCCGCCGCCGGGAUGUCUGCGGCUCCGGUGCCGCCUGCCCCCGCGGCCCCCGCGCCCCUCGCGCCCCUGCUGGACUUCGGGAAUGAGUUCGUGCCCCCGGCGCCCCGGGGACCCCUGCCGGACGCUCCCCCAGCCGCCCCGGAACGGCCGCCGGCGUGGGACCCGAUCCCCGCCUCGUCGGCCGUGCCCGCGCCGUCCCUGCCGGCGGCCGCCGCAGUCUUGCCCUCCCGGCUUCCCGAGGACGACGAGCCUCCCGCACGGCCGCCCCCGCCGCCCCCCGCCGGCGUGAGCCCCCUGGCCGAGCCCUCCUGGACCCCGCCCGCCGCGGCGCCCGCCGCGCCCCCCUCCACCCCGGCCGCGCCCAAGCGCAGGGUCUCCUCGGGCUCCGUAGAUGAGACCCUUUUUGCUCUUCCUGCUGCAUCUGAGCCUGUGAUACACUCCUCUGCAGAAAAAAUUAUGGACUUGAAGGAGCAGCCAGGUAACACUGUUUCGGCUGGUCAAGAGGAUUUCCCAUCUGUCCUGCUUGAAACUGCUGCUUCUCUUCCUUCUCUGUCUCCUCUCUCAACUGCUUCUUUUAAAGAACAUGAAUACCUUGGUAACUUACCAGCAGUAUCUCCCAUGGAAGGAGCACUUCAAGAAACUUUAAAUGAAGCUUCUAAAGAUUUCUCAGAGAAGGCAAAAAAUCCAUUUAUAGAUAGAGAUUUAACAGAAUGUUCAGAAUUAGAGUACUCAGAAAUGGGAUCAUCAUUCAGUGGCUCUCCAAAAGCAGAAUCUGUCAUAUUAGUAGAAAAUCCUAGGGAAGAAAUAGUUGUGAAGAAUAAAGAUGAAGGGGAGGAUUUAGUUAGUAACACCAUUCUUCAUAAUCAACAACAACUACCUAUAGCCCUUACUAAAUUGGUUAAAGAAGAGGACAAAGGUAUAUCACCAGAAAAGGACAGUUAUAAUGAAAUGGGAAUUGCAGUAGAAGCACCUGUAAGGGAGGAAUAUGCAGACUUCAAACCAUUUGAGCAAGUAUGGGAACUCAAAGAUACAUUUAAGGGAGACAGGGAUGUGUUGGCUGCUAGAGGUAAUAUAGAAAGCAAAUUGGAAAGUAAAGUGGAUAAGAAAGGUUUUGCGGAUAGCCUUGAGCAAACAAAUCAUGAAAAAGAUAGUGAAAGCAGUAACGAUGAUGCUUCUUUUCCCAGUACACCAGAAGCUGUAAAAGACAGUUCAAGACCAUAUAUCACAUGUGCUCCCUUUAACCCAACAGCAGCUGAGAGCAUUGCAACAGCCAUCUUUCCUUUGUUAGAAGAUCAUACUUCAGAAAAUAAGACUGACGAGAAAAAAAUAGAAGAAAAAAAGGCCCAAAUUGUAACAGAGAAGACUAGCACCAAAACAUCAAACCCUUUCCUUGUGGCAACACAAGAUUCUGAGACAAAUUAUGUUACAACAGAUAAUUUAUCAAAGGUGACUGAUGAAGUGGUGGCAAACAUGCCUGAAGGGUUAACUCCAGACUUAGUACAAGAAGCAUGUGAAAGUGAAUUUAAUGAAGCUGCAGGUACAAAAAUUGCUUAUGAAACAAAAAUGGACUUGGUCCAAACAUCAGAAGCUGUGCAGGAUUCACUCUACCCAGUAGCACAGCUUUGCCCGUCAUUUGAAGAAUCUGAAGCAACUCCUUCACCAGUUUUGCCUGACAUUGUUAUGGAAGCACCAUUAAAUUCUCUGGUUCCUAGUGCUGGUGCUUCUGUGGCACAGCCCAGUUCAUCACUGUUAGAAGCUCCUCUAGUUAAUUAUGAGAGCAUAAAACAUGAACCUGAAAAUCCUCCACCAUAUGAAGAGGCCAUGAAUAUAUCACUAAAAAAAGUAUCAGGAAUAAUGGAAGAAAUUAAAGACCCUGAAAGUAUUAAAGCAGCUGUUCAGGAAACAGAAGCUCCUUAUAUAUCUAUUGCAUGUGAUUUAAUUAAAGAAACAAAGCUCUCUACUGAACCAAGUCCAGAUUUCUCCAAUUAUUCAGAAACAGCAAAUGUUGAAAAGCCAAUCUCUGAUCAUUCUGAGCUAGUUGAAGAUUCCUCACCUGAUUCUGAACCAGUUGACCUAUUUAGUGAUGACUCAAUACCUGAAGUUCCACAAACAAAAGAGGAAGCUGUGAUGCUUAUGAAAGAAAAUCUUGUGGAAACUUCAUCUAAAUCAGUAGAACUAGAAAAUGUGGGAAAACUCAGUGCUUUACCACUUGAAGGGGGAAAGCCAUAUUUGGAAUCUUUUCAACCCAAUUUAGAUUCUAUGAAAAAUACUCUAUCACCUGAUGAAGUUUCAUCAUUGACCACAAAGGAGAAAAUUCCUUUGCAGAUGGAGGAGCUUGAUACUGCAGUUUACUCAAAUGAUGACUUACUUAUUUCUAAGGAAGCAAAUGCAAGAGAAAAUGAAACAUUUUCAGAUUCAUCUCCAAUUGAGAUUAUAGAUGAAUUUCCCGCAUUUGUCAGCUCUAAAAUUGAUUCUUCUAAGUUAGCCGGUGAAUACACUGACCUAGAAGUAUUCCACAAAAGUGAAAAUGCUAAUGUCCAGGAUAGAGCUGGGUCAUUGCCAUGCUCAGUAAUGCCCCAUGACCUUUCUUUCAAGAACAUGCAUCCUAAAGAUGAAGAUAAAAUCCUUGUCUCAGAUGAGUUCUACAAAGAUAGAUCUGACAUAUCAAAGGUGCCCUUACGGCCUCCAGAUGUUUCUGCUUUGGCAACUCAAACAGAGAUAGAUAGCACAAUUAAACCCAAAGUUCUUAUGAAAGAAGGUGAGAAAAAACUUCCUUCUGAUACAGAAAAAGAGGACAGAUCACCAUCUGCUAUAUUUUCAGCAGAGCUGAGUAAAACAUCAGAUAAAGAAACCAACAAAACUUUUCUCAGGACCACAUGGUUUGUGGUAUGAGGCCUUUUUAUCUUAGUUUGAGUUCUACUUGACCAACCAAAGAUUGAAAAGUAUAAAAGCUAAAAUUACUCAUGUUUUGAUAUUUUAUUCAUUCACCGUCCAUGGCAUAUCAUUGAACUGAACAAG
rnacentral:lncRNA from 1 species